rnacentral:rRNA from 1 species
CGCAGCCGCGGUAAUUCCAGCUCCAAUAGCGUAUAUUAAAGUUGUUGCAGUUAAAAAGCUCGUAGUUGAAUUUCGGGGUCAGUAGGUUGGUCAUGCCUUCGGUAUGUACUGGUCUCACUGAUUCCUCCUUCUUGAAGAUCCGUAAUGUCAUUAAUUUGGUGUUGCGGGGAAUCAGGACUGUUACUUUGAAAAAAUUAGAGUGUUUAAAGCAGGCUAACGCUUGAAUACAUUAGCAUGGAAUAAUGAAAUAGGACGUUUGAUCCUAUUUUGUUGGUUUCUAGGAUUGACGUAAUGAUUAAUAGGGAUAGUUGGGGGCAUUAGUAUUCAAUUGUCAGAGGUGAAAUUCUUGGAUUUAUUGAAGACUAACUACUGCGAAAGCAUUUGCCAAGGAUGUUUUCAUUAAUCAAGAACGAAAGUUAGGGGAUCGAAGACGAUCAGAUACCGUCGUAGUCUUAACCAUAAACUAUGCCGACUAGGGAUCGGAUGAUGUUAAUUUUUUAAUGACUCAUUCGGCGCCUUA